rfam:Oreochromis niloticus linkage group LG8-24, whole genome shotgun sequence.
GCUCCAGUGGCGCAAUCGGUCAGCGCGCGGUACUUAUAAGACAGUAGCCUGCAGAGUGAUGCCGAGGUUGUGAGUUCGAGCCUCACCUGGAGCA